CGGAAUGAUUUUAAUUGGAUUAGUGGCGAACGGGUGAGUAACGCGUGAGUAACCUGCCUUACACAAGGGGAUAGCCUCUGGAAACGGAGAAUAAUACCCUAUGAAACUAUCUUAUCGCAUGAAAAGAUAGUCAAAGUGUUUUAGCGGUGUAAGAUGGACUUGCGUCUGAUUAGCUAGUUGGUGAGAUAACAGCCCACCAAGGCAACGAUCAGUAGCCGGCUUGAGAGAGUGUACGGCCACAUUGGGACUGAGACACGGCCCAGACUCCUACGGGAGGCAGCAGUGGGGAAUUUUGCACAAUGGGGGCAACCCUGAUGCAGCGACGCCGCGUGAUUUAGAAGGCCUUCGGGUUGUAAAAAUCUUUUGUAUAGGAAGAAAAUGACAGUACUAUACGAAUAAGGUCCGGCUAAUUACGUGCCAGCAGCCGCGGUAAUACGUAAGGACCGAGCGUUGUCCGGAAUCAUUGGGCGUAAAGGGUACGUAGGCGGUUAGAAAAGUUAGAAGUGAAAGGCUAUAGCUCAACUAUAGUAAGCUUUUAAAACUGUUUAACUUGAGAGAUGGAAGGGAAAGUGGAAUUCCUAGUGUAGCGGUGAAAUGCGCAGAUAUUAGGAGGAAUACCGGUGGCGAAGGCG
rnacentral:rRNA from 2 species